GACGAACGCUGGCGGCGUGCCUAAUGCAUGCAAGUCGAACGCUUCUUUCCUCCCGAGUGCUUGCACUCAAUUGGAAAGAGGAGUGGCGGACGGGUGAGUAACACGUGGGUAACCUACCCAUCAGAGGGGGAUAACACUUGGAAACAGGUGCUAAUACCGCAUAACAGUUUAUGCCGCAUGGCAUAAGAGUGAAAGGCGCUUUCGGGUGUCGCUGAUGGAUGGACCCGCGGUGCAUUAGCUAGUUGGUGAGGUAACGGCUCACCAAGGCCACGAUGCAUAGCCGACCUGAGAGGGUGAUCGGCCACACUGGGACUGAGACACGGCCCAGACUCCUACGGGAGGCAGCAGUAGGGAAUCUUCGGCAAUGGACGAAAGUCUGACCGAGCAACGCCGCGUGAGUGAAGAAGGUUUUCGGAUCGUAAAACUCUGUUGUUAGAGAAGAACAAGGACGUUAGUAACUGAACGUCCCCUGACGGUAUCUAACCAGAAAGCCACGGCUAACUACGUG
rnacentral:rRNA from 1 species